AAUAUCAUAGAGCUGACGUUUUCGCUAUAAUAUUUUAUAUUUAAGGAGUAUAGGAGGACUUUCGUGACUAACUCCAUAUUAUCUUAAAAAAUAAGUUCUAUAAUUCAAAAGGCGUAACAACUUCUGUACUACUUCUAAUUCUGAUAGCACGUUAUCAAGGAAACAUUAUACAGGCGAUCGUGGAGCUAUCAUGACUCGAGUCAGCCUGUUUAUCCAUGGAAAUUGUAAAUUGCACCAUUCCGAGGAAUACGGCGCAGAUUGGCCGAAGAAGAUGGUAAUGCACCCGGUAAAUUUCCAUCGUAGAAGAUGAACGUGGCUAUCUGCACGAGUAGUGGUCCGUGUGCGUUUCCAACUGGACGUUCAUUUCAAUUUGACGGCAUAUUCAGCGAGCUUGUGCCGCGCAAAUGGAUCGUUUCCUUUAUAGUAUCACGCGACUGAUUCCGUAAUUUUCAGUCGGUUUAACAGGACCCAGUUUCUAACUGCAAAUAGAUUCGACCUGUUCGUCCUUGUUUCGACGCGUCGUUGCUUUAGAAUGGCAGGGUGAUAUCUCUUGCGUAUACUUCAUACAAUUUAUCAAAGCUGCUAGUAUAAUUUUAGAUGGCGUUUAAAUUCGUCAUGUCAAUAGCUGCGGCAAGUAUGAGAGGUCCUUGAAAUUGCAAGUGGAUUUAUCGAUGUUCAAGAACUUUUUAACGAUAUAUAUUUCAAAAUAGCUUUGAAAGCUUUGAACGGACCUGAUUCAUUGGCCCAGCGGCUGUACCAUACACUUUGAAAACCGUACGAGUCUUGAAAUAAAAAUCACCAAUCUCAAAUUAAAUGUGGACAACUUUCUACGUUAAGGUGUACGGGACCGAAAUAAAAUAUUAAAGUAUCCGAAACUUUCAAACCGAUAACAAAAAUCAACUUCACGGCUAACUAGUUGGUCGGUUCUAGCGUGUAACCGUGGAUUCAGAGUGAGCGCGAGUGAUUUUAAAUCAACCGUGCAGCGGUGUAUAUUUCGCUGGUAAUAUAACGCUGCAACCUGCCGUGCACUUUAUCAAAUUCUAUAGCGUUAUAAGCCACGCGGUACACAGCUAUGCGUCCUUGGGGAAAUAAACUUCAUUCCCCGGGAAAGUUCUGCUUUCGGAGGAGAAGAAUCUCGAGUUUUAAAUAAAUUAAGCCUUCGUUUCCAAGGGCCGCGCGCUCGAGCCCGCCAGUCGGUUGUUUCAACCGAGAACAAGAACCUGAGUGAAUAAUAUAUGCCGCGUGGCAACCAAAGAGAAAACCCGCCGCAUGUUCGUGGAUGAAGACGAGGAGAGGAAGGACCAUCUCACCCUUCUCGAACCGUCACGGAUCGGACGUUUAGACAAGUUGAGUGACAGGGAGAAAGCUCGAUCCAUGGGUGGAAACAAGAUGGAAAAAGGGCCAACGAAACGGGAGAGAAACGGACAAGAAGCGAGAUCCGAGCCGCGACGAGUGAACGGGCUCGCUGAACUUUCUCAAUUAAAAGUUAAUUACCUUUCGGCUAAGACCACAGAAUUUCAAUCGGCAGACGAAUAAUUGUUCUCCGCGUUUGAACUACUGCCGAAACGAAAAUGGGUCUCUCGAGAGGAACGACCCCUUUACAUUUCUCAUCCGACGAGAUUUUUCGGCCAUGGCCCAGGUUUGUUCCGGGGGAUGGCUGGUUGGACAUAAAAAAGCUGGGAGAUUGCGAAAUCACGAGGUGCCACCGGCACGGGCUACGUGGUCUGGAUUCGGGAACCGUCUUCUUCUCAUAUCUGUCUCUCUUUCUACCCUUUUUCUACCUUCCUUGCUGUCACUUGCAUCGCGGUUCGAUGUUGGGCGAAUAUUUGCGAAGCUUCGAUAAGUGAAAUUCUAUCUGCGCCGUACGGACGGGCGGACGGUUUAAGAACGCGCCGUGCCGUCUGUAAUUUUCUGAGAACCGUGUGUGCGGAAUGUUGUAUGAGAGCGCGUAUCACCGCUCCUUCCGUGAACCCUCGCGAUUUCCAUCCCUCUUUACGUCGUCAGGAUUUAGGAUCCCGAGAUCCACCGCUGUGUUUCAAAGCGAUUUCGUGUUCUGCAUCGCUAUGUCGUUCUCUGUGAAGGAUUCUUGGAACAGUCGCGAACCAUCUCGUAAGAGGCAAUUUGGUCCACGUCCUAUGUGCGACUCUUUUCAUCGUGUUCGUUAUGCUUUGUUCCUGUUACGAAUAGACAAACCUGUUCUUCGAUUUUGAUUUUAAUAUCGAUUGGAUCGUUCGAUGGUACUACUACAAAGUAGAAACACUUUACACCUCAAUGUUACGUUACAAAGGCACAGAUUCGAAUAACAGAAGAAAGGAGGAAAAGGAAGUAAAUUCUUAUUUGUGCUUCGAUCCAAAAAAAAUCACGUAUUCGGCGCAAACAGAAUAAUUCAGUACUUUUCGGUC